GGGCCGAUAGCUCAGUCUGGCAGAGCGUCUGGCUUUUAACCAGAUGGUCGGGGGUUCAAAUCCCUCUCGGCCCG
rnacentral:tRNA from 2 species